UUAAAUUAUCUCCUUGAUUUAAAAUGGUAAUGAUCAGAAUUAUAACCUAAACUUUUCGUUGGUGAGAAUACAAUGAUUGUUGUCUCAAAGCACAAGUAUCAAUUUUUAUUCUAUAUUUUUGAUAUGUUUUAGCAUGAUGUGGGUUAUAAAUGAUGUGAGUUAUAAAUUUUAUUAACAAAGUUAAACGAAUUAAUCCAGCUGAAUAACCAAGAUCCAGAUUACCACGUACUGUAAAAGUACCCAGGUUACCUUGUAUUCACCUUCUCUUUCAGAUGUAUCAAAAAUAUCCUUUAUUGCUAAUACUUAUAACAGGAAAAUAUUCUACUGCUCAUAAAAUUUUUAAUGAAUCAAAUUGAUAAAUAUCAAACAAUAAAAGAAUAUCUAGUAACAGGAAAAUAUCUUUUGCUCCUUAAAAAUAAUCCAGCUUUAGUAAUAAUGGAUGAAGCAGAGAAACAAAGGGUAAUAUCUAUUAUUCACCAAUAUCCCUAGAAUCUAAAGCUAUUGGUGCCCACCUUGGCAUUAAUAAAACUCAACUUAACUCUGAAAGGUAUUUAUUAUGGUGUUAAUUUUGUGUUCAUAGAUAUUGGUGGCCAAAAUUAUUUCAAGACACUAUUGAUUUUAUAAAAUCAUGUGAUAGAUGUCAGAAGGCCAAUACAAGAUUUUCUAAAAUUUCUUCUACUUUGAAUCCAAUAGAUGUACCACCUCUUCCAUGGGCUCAAAUAGAAAUUGAUCUUUGCAGCCUGCCCACUUCAGAAGAAGGCUACACAUGUAUUGCAAUUGCCUCUGAUUAUUUCACAAAAUGGGUUGAGGCAGAACUUAUGAAAUCAAAGACAGCUGAAGAGACUUGUAAAUUUAUUUAUGGUCUGAUUUGCCGCCAUGGCUGCGCAAUUAUACAAAUCAAUGAUCAAGAGAGUUUGUGAAUAAAAUGGCCACGAGAUUACAUAAAAUGACAGGGACGGAGCAACGCAUUUCCAGUGCAUAUCAUCCUCAAGCUAAUGGGUUGACAGAAAGGAUUAUUCGUACUAUUCAAAACUUAAUGUUUAAGGUUUUGAGUGAUGAUCAAACACUAUGGCCUAGGGUUCUUCCGGGGGUAUUAUUUGCAAUGCAAACCAGUGUCCACAAAUCUACAGGAUUCAUCCCAUUUUAUAUGAUGUAUGGUAGGAACGCAAAGCUGCCAUCAGAAAUUCGAAAAUUGAGCCAGAUAUUGUUAAGGAAAUCAAUAAUAAUAUUGAGAAUGACUUUGAAGAGAGUGAAUUAUUAGAAAGAAUAAUGAGCCUAUCAGUCGUAUGGAAAAGGGCAAAAGAAAAUAUUGUAGCCCAAGAUAGACAAAAAAGGGAUUAUCAAAAAAGGCAAAAGGAUAAAAUCCCUUAUGAAGUCGGGCAACAGGUCCUGAUCUGGAACUCAUGACGUGCGGAUAGAAAGGGUGGAAAAAUGUCCUAAUCGUUGCUUGAGCAAAGAGAUCACAGGCAGCGAGGAUCACCAUGCAAUUAUAAGGGAAUCUAUAAUCUCAUAUAUGAUGCUGUUGGAAAAUAAUGAUAUUUUUACUGAUUUUAUGGGGAAGGACAUAAUAAAACAUUUGGUUGAUACAAAAAAACAUCAACUUGGAACGUGGGCGUAUGAAUUAGUUAUCGUAGCAUUUGCUAUUUUCCAGACGCCAAUUAUUAUUUAUUGUAAAAAUGGAAAUGAAAUAUAUUACAUAUUCUGCAUUAUCA